UACGUAGGGACCAAGCGUUGUUCGGAUUUACUGGGCGUAAAGGGCGCGUAGGCGGCUUAACAAGUCACUUGUGAAAUCUCCGGGCUUAACUCGGAACGGCCAAGUGAAACUGUCAAGCUAGAGUGCAGAAGGGGCAAUCGGAAUUCCUGGUGUAGCGGUGAAAUGCGUAGAUAUCAGGAGGAACACCGGUGGCGAAGGCGGGACUCUGGGCCGAUACUGACGCUGAGGAGCGAAAGCGUGGGGAGCAAACAGG
rnacentral:rRNA from 1 species